GGACUAACCGAGGAGCAACAACAUUACAAGAUUAGAAGAAUGGGAUUGUUGUUACAUCGCCUUGUGGAUUGUGAUGAAUACUCCACGAUCUUUCCCAAGAAGAGUCAAGAGUUUGAAAAGUUUGAAAUUGUCCGGCCUAAUUUAAUGAUCGAUGGCUGUAGUAGCAGUGAAAACUCCGGAGUAUGGGUGUUGCACUGGCUAAGUAUGGAACAUUAUUAUAGACCGGAAAAUUUUCUU